rnacentral:rRNA from 1 species
GAUGAACGCUGGCGGCGUGCCUAAUACAUGCAAGUCGAGCGAACGGACGAGAAGCUUGCUUCUCUGAUGUUAGCGGCGGACGGGUGAGUAACACGUGGAUAACCUACCUAUAAGACUGGGAUAACUUCGGGAAACCGGAGCUAAUACCGGAUAAUAUUUUGAACCGCAUGGUUCAAAAGUGAAAGACGGUCUUGCUGUCACUUAUAGAUGGAUCCGCUCUGCAUUAGCUAGUUGGUAAGGUAACGGCUUACCAAGGCAACGAUGCAUAGCCGACCUGAGAGGGUGAUCGGCCACACUGGAACUGAGACACGGUCCAGACUCCUACGGGAGGCAGCAGUAGGGAAUCUUCCGCAAUGGGCGAAAGCCUGACGGAGCAACGCCGCGUGAGUGAUGAAGGUCUUCGGAUCGUAAAACUCUGUUAUUAGGGAAGAACAUAUGUGUAAGUAACUGUGCACAUCUUGACGGUACCUAAUCAGUAAGCCACGGCUAACUACGUG